rnacentral:rRNA from 1 species
AACGAACGCUGGCGGCAUGCCUAACACAUGCAAGUCGAACGAGACCUUCGGGUCUAGUGGCGUACGGGUGCGUAACGCGUGGGAACCUGCCCUUAGGUUCGGAAUAACUCCCCGAAAGGGGUGCUAAUACCGGAUAAUGUCUUCGGCCCAAAGAUUUAUCGCCUUUGGAUGGGCCCGCGUUGGAUUAGCUAGUUGGUAGGGUAAAAGCCUACCAAGGCGACGAUCCAUAGCUGGUCUGAGAGGAUGAUCAGCCACACUGGGACUGAGACACGGCCCAGACUCCUACGGGAGGCAGCAGUGGGGAAUAUUGGACAAUGGGCGAAAGCCUGAUCCAGCAAUGCCGCGUGAGUGAUGAAGUCCUUAGAGUUGUAAAGCGCUUUUACCCGGGAUGAUAAUGACAGUACCGGGAGAAUAAGCUCCGGCUAACUCCGUG